rnacentral:lncRNA from 1 species
GGGAACUCAUCAACCAGAUACAGCAGAACAGAUUCAUUGGAAAGACUGGAGAAUCAACAUUUGAUAUUUUCUUUUACCAAUCUCUGUAUAACUUCAAAUAGAUGGAGAGCACAAGAGGCAAGAGAUGCAGUAUAAAACCAACUGAAAGGAUGAGUGUGUUAGAAGUAGCAGAUGUGAACAAAGUAAAUGGUCCACAUAUUCCCGGAUAUAAAGAAGAGAUGAAAAAAAAAUCAGAACUGAGAUGGAAAGAAAAAGUUAAACACUCAAAAAUGUCCUCUAAUUCUGCAUACUUUCCAAGCGUCUCAACCUCCCCCACAUACCUACUAUCAAAAGCAAUUCCUGCAGCACAUGCAAAACUGGAAAACAAGUGCUAAGAAUUAACAUGAGCAUAGGAAAAUCUCCAACUGCUGUUGGCUUUCAACGUGUGGACGGUUAUCUCAUAGUACUUAUGGUAUUUGUGUCCUAUUAAUUGCUAUGAUUUGUCCUCAUCGUAUGGUUGGACUGACAAAAUAAAUGGCUACAUAUAUAGACA